rnacentral:rRNA from 1 species
CUGAUCUAGCCAUGCCGCGUGRGYGAUGAAGGCCUUAGGGUUGUAAAGUUCUUUCAGUCGUGAAGAUAAUGACGGUAGCGACAGAAGAAGCCCCGGCUAACUCCGUGCCAGCAGCCGCGGUA